AAAACUUUCAACAACGGAUCUCUUGGCUCUGGCAUCGAUGAAGAACGCAGCGAAAUGCGAUAAGUAAUGUGAAUUGCAGAAUUCAGUGAAUCAUCGAAUCUUUGAACGCACAUUGCGCCCGCCAGUAUUCAUGGGGCAUGCCUGUUCGAGCGUCAU
rnacentral:rRNA from 1 species